UACCUGGUUGAUCCUGCCAGUAGUCAUAUGCUUGUCUCAAAGAUUAAGCCAUGCAUGUGUAAGUAUGAACAAAUUCAGACUGUGAAACUGCGAAUGGCUCAUUAAAUCAGUUAUAGUUUGUUUGAUGGUAUCUACUACUCGGAUAACCAUAGUAAUUCUAGAGCUAAUAUGUGCAAAAACCACGACAUGUGGAAGGGAUACAUUUAUUAGAUAAAAGGUCGACGCGGGAUCUGCCCAUUAUCGCGAUGAUUCAUGAUAACUCGACGGAUCGCACGGCCAUCGUGCCGGCGACGCAUCAUUCAAAUUUCUGCCCUAUCAACUUUCGAUGGUAGGAUAGUGGCCUACCAUGGUAGUGACAGGUGAUGGAGAAUUAGGGUUCGAUUCCUGAGAGGGAGCCUGAGAAAUGACUACCACAUCCAAGGAAGGCCGUAGGUGCGCAAAUUACACAAUUCUGACACGGGGAGGUAGUGACAAUACAUAACAGUACUGGGCUCUCCUAGUUUGGUAAUUGGAAUGAGUACAAUCUAAAUCCCUUAACGAGGAUCCAUUGGAGGGGAAUUCAAGUGCUAGGAGUCGCGGUAAUUCGUGCUCCAAUAGCGUAUAUUUAAGUUGUUGUAGUUAAAAAGCUCGUAGUUGCACUUUGGGAUAGGUCGGUUGGUUCGUCCUAGGUGUGCACCGGUCGUCUCAUCCCUUCAGUAGGCGAUGCGCUCCUUGCCUUAAUUGGCCGGGUCGUGCCUCCGGCGCUGUUACUUUGAAGAAAUUAGAGUGCUCAAAGCAAGCCUACGCUCUGUAUACAUUAGCAUGGGAUAACAUUAUAGGAUUUCGGUCCUAUUACGUUGGCCUUCGGGAUCGGAGUAAUGAUUAACAG
rnacentral:ncRNA from 1 species